AUUGAACGCUGGCGGCACGCCUAACACAUGCAAGUCGAACGAGUGGCGGACGGGUGAGUAAUGUCUGGGAAACUGCCUGAUGGAGGGGGAUAACUACUGGAAACGGUAGCUAAUACCGCAUACCAUCGGAUGUGCCCAGAUGGGAUUAGCUAGUAGGUGGGGUAACGGCUCACAUAGGCGACGAUCACUAGCUGGUCUGAGAGGAUGACCAGCGACACUGGAACUGAGACACGGACCAGAGGCAGAGGGGAGGAAGCAGUGGGGAAUAUUGCAAAAUGGGCGAAGGCCUGAUGGAGCCAUGCCGCGUGUAUGAAGAAGGCCAUCGGGUUGUAAAGUACUUUCAGCGGGGAGGCGUUACCCGCAGAAGAGGCACCGGCUAACUCCGUGCCAGCAGCCGCGGUAAUUC
rnacentral:rRNA from 1 species